rnacentral:rRNA from 1 species
UACGAAGGGAGCUAGCGUUGUUCGGAUUUACUGGGCGUAAAGCGCACGUAGGCGGAUCGAUCAGUCAGGGGUGAAAUCCCAGAGCUCAACUCUGGAACUGCCUUUGAUACUGUCGAUCUGGAGUAUGGAAGAGGUGAGUGGAAUUCCGAGUGUAGAGGUGAAAUUCGUAGAUAUUCGGAGGAACACCAGUGGCGAAGGCGGCUCACUGGUCCAUUACUGACGCUGAGGUGCGAAAGCGUGGGGAGCAAACAGG